rnacentral:lncRNA from 1 species
UACAACUAACUCCUUUAUCUAAUAAAACCAAUGAAACAGCCUCUAAUUUUAUGACUUAAGAUAUUGGGACACCUAACAGAUAACCUGUAGGCAUUUAAGAGCUAUGGUCUUCAAACCCCUCCCUUUAUUGAAAAAAUCCUUGAACACAAAAGUGUACAUUACAAUGAGAAUGAGAUACAUCUGGGAUCUGGAAAAAAAACUCAAACAAAAUCUGAAUCGUAAUUUUAGUAAGCAUAUUUAUUUAAUAAAGGGAUAUUAGAAGGGUUGAUCAAAACAGAAAAACAAAUCGGUAAAUCAAUAUUCACGUACUCCAAUCUCCACAACAGAAAGCAUACACUGACAUAGAUCGAAAAGACGACCAAUUGUUUCUUGGCAAUAAACGAAGGAGAAAGAGAGAGUGUUUGAUACCUCGAGGAACUGUUGGAGUUCCGGCGAGUUCAGAGAUGAAGAAUCCAUCGGAAUGAAUCGCUUGCUCCAUGCGUUUCCGCAAGAACCCGUGCUCGAGUUUGUUGGACUCUAAAUAGUAAAUAAUUAUAAUAAUAAUUUAACAUCUGGUUGGACCCG